UAGCUAACAGUUCCCGAUCGUAAGCA
rnacentral:piRNA from 1 species